rnacentral:SRP_RNA from 1 species
GCUGGGCGCGGUGGCGUGUGCCUGUAGUCCCAACUACUCGGGAGGCUGAGGUGGGAGGAUCGCUUGAGCCCAGGAGUUCUGGGCUGUAGUGCGCUAUGCCGAUCGGGUGUCUGCACUAAGUUCGGCAUCAAUAUGGUGACCUCCUGGGAGCAGGGACCACCAGGUUGCCUAAGGAGGGAUGAACUGGCCCAGGUCGGAAAUGGAGCAGGUCAAAACUCCCGUGCUGAUCAGUAGUGGGAUCGCGCCUGUGAACAUCCACUGCACUCCAGCCUGGGCAACAUAGCCAGACCCUGUCUCCU